rnacentral:rRNA from 1 species
GAAUCUUGCGCAACGGGCGAAAGCCUGCCGCAGCAAUGCCGCGUGAAUGAUGAAGGUCUUCGGAUUGUAAAAUUCUUCCACCGGGGACGAUAAUGACGGUACCAGGAGAAGAAGCCCCGGAUACCUUCGUGCCAGCAGCCGCGGGAAUACGAAGGGGGCUAGCGUUGCUCGGAAUUACUGGGCGUAAAGGGCGCGUAGGCGGAUCGUUAAGUCAGAGGUGAAAUCCCGGAGCUCAACUUCGGAAUUGCCUUGGAUACUGGCGAUCUUGAGUGUGAGAGAGGUAUGUGGUACUCCGAGUGUAGAGGUGAAAUUCGUAGAGAUUCGGGAGAACACCAGGGGCGAAGGCGACAUACUGGCUCAUUACUGACGCUUAGGCGCGAAAGCGUGGGGAGCAAACAG